rnacentral:rRNA from 1 species
UACAAUGAAGAGUUUGAUCCUGGCUCAGGAUGAACGCUAGCGGCAGGCUUAACACAUGCAAGUCGAGGGGUAACAGGUAGCUUGCUAUGCUGACGACCGGCGAACGGGUGCGUAACGCGUAUAGAAUCUGCCUUGUACAGGAGGAUAGCCUUUAGAAAUGAAGAUUAACACUCCAUAAUGUGUAGAAGAGGCAUCUCUUUUGCAUUAAACAUUUAUGGGUACAAGAUGACUAUGCGUCCUAUUAGCUAGAUGGUAAGGUAACGGCUUACCAUGGCGACGAUAGGUAGGGGGUCUGAGAGGAUUAUCCCCCACACUGGUACUGAGACACGGACCAGACUCCUACGGGAGGCAGCAGUGAGGAAUAUUGGUCAAUGGAGGCAAC